rnacentral:rRNA from 1 species
CCUACGGGGGGCUGCAGUGGGGAAUUUUGGACAAUGGGGGCAACCCUGAUCCAGCCAUGCCGCGUGCGGGAAGAAGGCCUUCGGGUUGUAAACCGCUUUUGUCGGGGAAGAAAUCCCCUGGGCUAAUACCUCGGGGGGAUGACGGUACCCGGAGAAUAAGCACCGGCUAACUACGUGCCAGCAGCCGCGGUCAUACGUAGGGUGCUUGCGUUAAUCGGAAUGUCUGGGCGUAGCGCGUGCGCAGGCGUGUGAAAUCCCCGGGCUCAACCUGGGAACUGCAUUUGUGACUGCAUAGCUGGAGUGCGGCAGAGGGGGAUGGAAUUCCGCGUGUAGCAGUGAAAUGCGUAGAUAUGCGGAGGAACACCGAUGGCGAAGGCAAUCCCCUGGGCCUGCACUGACGCUCAUGCACGAAAGCGUGGGGAGCAAACAGGAUUAGAUACCCCAGUAGUC